GAAGCAUCAGACACUGGGGGGCGCUUCUUGAACAGGCACUGGGCUAGACAGCCCAGACCUCGCGGAAACAAAGCGGGAAGGGGCCGCUCCUGGGGAGUUUUUCCCAGCUUCCCUGGGCCGGUGAGGGGUCCUGGCGUCCUGAACUGGAGAUGCUCCUUAGAGGGCACUGCUUCAGCCACCCCUGCCUUAGCAUACAUACGGGUCCCACAGGGGUCCUUCGACACCAGCUCAUCGUCUGGGUUCCACCAUCCACCCACGCACUCAUUUGGCAGCUAUCAACGGAGUAUUCACAGUACGCUGCUCACAGUUCUAACCGCGGAGGAUAGAGUUGAGGCCCACACGACAGCCCCUGCUCUCACAGAACUGAUGUCUCUAGAAGAGUCUUCCCUCAGUGAGAACGUUCUGAUUUCUAGAACAUUCUUUCUUCUGAUGAGUGAACAGCCUCACCGGAACUUCCCCAUCCUCCUGGCUUGGUUCCUGAAGUGGCCCAAGGCUGCCUUCUCCCUCCCGUGGGUGAACAGGGUCACUGCUUCCUCUCUUGUCCAGGCCCCCUGGCCUGACCCUGAGUCCCGGGCGUAACGGCGUUGUUGAACCACCACAACCCCAGGCGGCGCCUUCCUCUUGGCCCAGGGGCUCUCUUGGGGACAGUGUGCAGUACUCCCCAAGGGGGCUUUGCUGUGCAAAAGCAGCCCCUGCCGAUGCUGCGGCUCCCGUGGAUGGAGCACUGCCGUGGGAACAGAGUUGGAACUCAUCCAAAAGAAUAAAAGACAACUGUGUUGGAAGAUUGCCAAGGUUUGUAGCUGUGCCACCGCAGACUUCAGAGAUGAACACUGCCUUGGAGACGAGGAGGAUUCAAGUUGCAGAAGCAUUUAGAAACCUCAAACUUGAGACACGGUGGGAAAUCAGGAAGACAUGAGGCUUUGCUCAACACUGGAGAACACCAGUUCUUUUCAGUUUGUAUGCAUCUUUAUCAGGAAGAUGAUCAUUCAAGAGGCCUGAAGGAAGACUUGUGUUGGAGCCUAAG
rnacentral:lncRNA from 1 species